AGAGAGAGACAUGCGCGCAUAUCAAUAAGCGGAGGAAAAGAAACUAACAAGGAUUCCCCUAGUAACGGCGAGUGAAGCGGGAAGAGCUCAAAUUUGAAAUCUUAAAGGGUUUCCCUUUACGAAUUGUAGUUUAAAGAAGUGUUUUCUGUUGAGGUUUUGGUAAAAGUUCUUUGGAAUAGGACAUCAUAGAGGGUGAGAAUCCCGUAUUUGACCUUUACUUUCAACUUUGUGAUACACUUUCAAAGAGUCGGAUUGUUUGGGAAUGCAGUCCAAAAUGGGUGGUAAAUUUCAUCUAAAGCUAAAUAUUGGCGAGAGACCGAUAGCGAACAAGUACCGUGAGGGAAAGAUGAAAAGAACUUUGAAAAGAGAGUUAAACAGUACGUGAAAUUGUCAAAAGGGAAGCGUUUGACACCAGUGUUGUUUUUCUGAAAAUCAACUUAAAGAACUGUUUAUGCUAAGUUGUUUAGACUUUAUCAGCUAACUGUUUAGUUUUGAGCUUUUCUUUAAUGCACUUUUCAGUUAACAAGUCAACAUCAAUUUCUUUUGCUGUAAAAAAGCUUGAGGAAGGUGGCUUGAGAUUCGUCUUAAGUGUUUAUAGCCUCUUGCCUAUGCAGUCGGAGAGAUUGAGGUCUGCAGCGUAGAUCCUUCGGGGCUAAAUGCAUUUGUGCUAAGUUAUAGCAUUUUAUAGACAACUUGUUGACUAUGAUUUGUCUUGUAGCUUACUCGCUUAUGUUAUUUUACCUACGCUUAGGAUGUUGAGCGCAUGUCUCUCUCU
rnacentral:rRNA from 1 species